GUUAACGUCCACACCAUGUUGAAUACACCGGUUCUCGUCCGAUCACCGAAGUCAAGCAACAUCGGGCGUAGUAGUAAGAUCCAUGAUGUGUGUACUAAGGGCUAAGUUCUAUGUCGAACU
rnacentral:rRNA from 1 species